CUACAGGCUUAACACAUGCAAGUCGAGGGGCAUCAGGAAGAAAGCUUGCUUUCUUUGCUGGCGACCGGCGCACGGGUGAGUAACACGUAUCCAACCUGCCCUUUACUCGGGGAUAGCCUUUCGAAAGAAAGAUUAAUACCCGAUAGCAUAAUGAUUCCGCAUGGUUUCAUUAUUAAAGGAUUCCGGUAAAGGAUGGGGAUGCGUUCCAUUAGGUUGUUGGUGAGGUAACGGCUCACCAAGCCUUCGAUGGAUAGGGGUUCUGAGAGGAAGGUCCCCCACAUUGGAACUGAGACACGGUCCAAACUCCUACGGGAGGCAGCAGUGAGGAAUAUUGGUCAAUGGGCGGUAGCCUGAACCAGCCAAGUAGCGUGAAGGAUGAAGGCUCUAUGGGUCGUAAACUUCUUUUAUAUAAGAAUAAAGUGCAGUAUGUAUACUGUUUUGUAUGUAUUAUAUGAAUAAGGAUCGGCUAACUCCGUGCCAGCAGCCGCGGUAAUACGGAGGAUCCGAGCGUUAUCCGGAUUUAUUGGGUUUAAAGGGAGCGUAGGUGGACUGGUAAGUCAGUUGUGAAAGUUUGCGGCUCAACCGUAAAAUUGCAGUUGAUACUGUCAGUCUUGAGUACAGUAGAGGUGGGCGGAAUUCGUGGUGUAGCGGUGAAAUGCUUAGAUAUCACGAAGAACUCCGAUUGCGAAGGCAGCUCACUGGACUGCAACUGACACUGAUGCUCGAAAGUGUGGGUAUCAAACAGGAUUAGAUACCCUGGUAGUCCACACAGUAAACGAUGAAUACUCGCUGUUUGCGAUAUACAGUAAGCGGCCAAGCGAAAGCAUUAAGUAUUCCACCUGGGGAGUACGCCGGCAACGGUGAAACUCAAAGGAAUUGACGGGGGCCCGCACAAGCGGAGGAACAUGUGGUUUAAUUCGAUGAUACGCGAGGAACCUUACCCGGGCUUAAAUCGCAGUGGAAUGAUGUGGAAACAUGUCAGUGAGCAAUCACCGCUGUGAAGGUGCUGCAUGGUUGUCGUCAGCUCGUGCCGUGAGGUGUCGGCUUAAGUGCCAUAACGAGCGCAACCCUUAUCUUUAGUUACUAACAGGUCAUGCUGAGGACUCUAGAGAGACUGCCGUCGUAAGAUGUGAGGAAGGUGGGGAUGACGUCAAAUCAGCACGGCCCUUACGUCCGGGGCUACACACGUGUUACAAUGGGGGGUACAGAAGGCAGCUAGCGGGUGACCGUAUGCUAAUCCCAAAAGCCUCUCUCAGUUCGGAUCGAAGUCUGCAACCCGACUUCGUGAAGCUGGAUUCGCUAGUAAUCGCGCAUCAGCCACGGCGCGGUGAAUACGUUCCCGGGCCUUGUACACACCGCCCGUCAAGCCAUGGGAGCCGGGGGUACCUGAAGUGCGUAACCGCAAGGAUCGUCCUAGGGUAAAACUGGUGACUGGGGCUAAGUA
rnacentral:rRNA from 1 species